rnacentral:rRNA from 1 species
CAAUCAAUUGUCUUUUAAAUGGAGACCUGUAUGAAUGGCGUAACGAGGGCUUGACUGUCUCCUUUUCUCAGUCAAUGAAAUUGAUCUCCCCGUGCAGAAGCGGGGGUAAACACAUAAGACGAGAAGACCCUGUGGAGCUUUAGACGCUAGGGCAGACUAAUGUUAAAUUAUCCUCUCAAAGAAUAACACCUAAAACCCCUGCCCCCAUGUCUUUGGUUGGGGCGACCAUGGAGUAAAGAGCAACCUCCACGUGGAAUAAGAGUACUACUCCCUAAAACUAGGGCCACCACCCUAUUUGUCAGAAUUUCUGGCCUUAUAGAUCCGGCUUAAGCCGAUUAACGAAUUGAGUUACCCCAGGGAUAACAGCGCAAUCUCCUUUAAAAGACCA